rnacentral:snRNA from 1 species
AAAAAGGGUUAGUUGGCUAAAUAUGCCACGUCCGCCUUCGCGGCGGGUGCUGUAUGGACUAUCAAGACAUAUGGCUGACAAAAUUUGUGGAAA